UUGGAUUUGGUGAGCUGAAACCCACCUCAGUCACUAUAUAAUGAGCUGAUAGAUCUGUCAAAGUACUGCAUGUUAGAAUACGUAACGGUUUCAUACGUGUAGUUUAAAAAUUUUUCUUAAACAUCUAUGCAGCAGAAAUAAAUAAAUUAAAAUAAUUUUAAUUUAUACAUACCAGAUCAGAUCUAAAAAUUGUAGCAUGGAUCUUGAUACGAACAAGUACCCACAAUCUGAAAUUUGAAAUAGAAAAAUAAAUUAUUAGAAAAAAUAAAUGGAGAUCAGAUCUCCAUACCUCGAAUCCUAUGGAUGUCUCGGAUUCUGAUCGUAGCCAUGCACGCACCCGACCUCUACUGAUAUCCACAUGGAGUCAUCUUAUUGGAGCAUCAAGAUCAUCGGUGUGCUAGUACCUUACAGAUCUCAUUCCUCAUCCUUGGAUCUUGAUCUCUUCUUCUAAAUCUUGAAGAAGAAGAUCGCUGCGCAAACUCUUUCGCACAGAUCCGAUAGG
rnacentral:lncRNA from 1 species